GCCGUUUGUACCCGAAGUCAUCGUGCUAACCGCAAGGAGGCAGAGUGCCGAAGGUAUGGAGUGGUGAUUGGGAUG
rnacentral:rRNA from 1 species